rnacentral:tRNA from 1 species
GGCCCGGCUGGUCCGCGGACUGGACCUGGCGCUGCUUCCGCCGGACGCGCCGGCUCCGCCCGGCGAGCCCCUGUUCGCCCGCUGAGCCCGGGCCGC